GUAGCCGUGCUCAGCGCUGUAGUACAUGGCCUCCUGCAGGGCUUUCGUGCGCGCCCGGCUCAGCCGCACAGGCCCCUCACCGCCACUGCCCUGGCUUGACGUAUCACUUUCCUCUACGCCUUCAGCCAGGAUCUCCUCCAGGGACAGCACGUCUGCUUUGGCCUGUUGCGGCUGCGUCAGAAGCUUCCUCAGGACGUUCCUGUGGGACAAGGGACAGGCGUGAUGCAUGAGGUCAGUGCCCUUCUGCACUGCCUUCCAGCACCUCGUGGCCCUACUGGGUGGCUAGGGGCAUCUGUGGACACACAGCCCUCAUGCCCUCAUAGCCUACCCCUCCCAGGGAGACCGGGCCAGGGGUUGUGCACAGAUACUUGGCAGGGAGGAUGCAGGCACCCCUUCCCUCAAUUAUCCAGGUGCUACCGACUGAGAAGUCACAGCCUCUGGGGUCAAGCAGGCUCCGCCAUCCGAGCUGUGUGACCUCAGACUGGCUAUCCUACCCUCUGAGGCCUGCCGGCUUUGUCAUCUGUUGAAGAGGGCUCAGCAUUACUCUUUCCUGGGGUUAAUGAGGCCACUGUGACCGCACUAAAUGCAGAGCCUGAUGCACAACAGACAUAAUAGCUGCUGACUGUAUGUGCAGAACUGUCGGCAACACAGGACAAGCUUAUACUUGUUCCCCUUCCUGCACUGAUGAGGCUGACGUGAGGAGGUAUGUUACACAGGACUCAUCCCGUGUACCGGCGCGUGGGACCCCUGAACAUCACCAUUUUCAGGUGAUCAAUAGGUCUUGCUCAAGGUCACAGUGGGAGAGUGCACUGAACCCAGGACUUCAGCUCCAAACCCACAUCCGUGGCCUGGGACUGGAUGGCUGCAGCAAAGGUCACCUGGGGCCUAGCCUCCUCUCUGGAGCCCUUUCUCCUCCCCAGGAUGAGAGCCAUGGUGUGACACAGCCAACCUCACGGUCCAGAGACCCCUUGGGGGUCAGCUAUAGCUGUGCUAGCCCAGGGGUGGUGUGCACGGGUAUGUGACAGUGACCUGUGCUGUCCUGAGGAUCCCAUGUUGCAGGGAGUACACGAGCCAGCAGGCAAUCCCCACGCUGGGCGGAGAGGGCCCAUCAAGAAAAUACAGGGGCACUUGGGGGAGGCAGGUUUAAGCGGGUGAGCAUGGGCACAGGGUCACACAAGAAAAAGAGAAAAAUGCUGGGGCAGAGUGUGGCUCUGAGGUGGGAGGCUGGCCCUUUCUCUGCCUUAUAGUGACUCUUCUGUCUCCAGAGCUGCCCGCUGCUGCCCCUGAACAGGCCCCACGGAGCAAGGCUACCGUGAGCUCUUGGAGUGGAACCUGACUUCCUAUAGCUUCACCAGGAGCCAUGUGCCCUAUGGAAGCCCCUGGAGCAUGUGGCUGCGGGCCCCGGAGAGCCAGCACUGAGGUGGCUGCGGGGUGGUGUGUCCUGCACGGCCCAGUUCUUCUGCUCCCUUUUGGGGAACCAGAGCUCCUGAGAGCCGGUGUCAUGUCCCCACAUACACAGGGCAGCAAGCCCCAACAGGUACCUGUGGCCGUGGGCAGCUGAGUGGCUGAAGCAGUUCAUGUCCUCGUGGAGGGAGGAGGCCAUGCCGUUGGCUUCCAGCAUGCUGAGGAGGGGGUCAGCACCUCGACUUAGCAGCAAGCUGACCAGCUCGUAGUUCCCUAAAAGACAAGGUGGACUGAGCAUGCUGCCACCACCCAUGUCACCAAGCCCUCUGCUGAGUCCUACCUGGUUGCUGAGCUCAGCAGAAACACAGAUGGAUGGGGCAAAGGGAGCCCUUCAGAAGCCCAGAAGCAGGGGCUUUAAGCUCACCUGUCAGACAAGAAAGCCCGAAUGGUGAGGAAAGAUCCUCUUUGCUAAAUGUCAUUUCCGUGCAUAUUAUUUGCAGUCUUCAGAAACAUCUACCCAGUUGUCCAAAACCUUGCACCAGCAUCGCCAGUGGAGAUCUUGAGGUGCUUCCUUGCUAGGCCGGGGAUUUAGGCACAGCUCUUUGGGGCUCCCUCACCUGGAUGUCCAGAUUUGCUCCGGCAUCAAUCAGCAUCUGGACCAUCGCUUCAUCCCCAGCAGCACAGGCAUACAUCAGCGGCGUCAUACCCUGCAUGGACCAAAAGCAGGAAACUGAACAUUGACAUCUGGGCCACCGGCUUCUGUCCUAGGAACCAAAGGUCUGGUCCCCUGCUUGACAGGCUGCUCACCCUGAGUGACUCUGGAUCCUGUGCUGGGUGGGCCUGCCCUUCCCCCUGCGCAUCUAAUACCUAAAGGGUGAAUAGGGGACAUUUCCACAGGCACUGCAGGCCCCCAGAGGUGUGAAGAGCACAGGCCACCUCUGCCCGGGAAACCUGUAAACUUGGUACACAUUUCUUAUACCUCUCUGCCUCAGUUUAUCUUUGAAAUGGAACUAGCAGCAGUAUUUACUGUACAGGGUUGUCCGGCGUCUGAGUUCCUAUGUGUAAGUGAUUAGUACAGGACCAGCUUGGUCACACUAAAUUAAAAGCAUAACACUAACUUACGGCUACCGCGUUAUCCCAGACCUGGAGAAGUGAUUGACGUGCACCACCUCAUUUAAUCACCAUAACAUCCCUACUCAGGCUCAUUAUUACUAUCCCCAUUAUGCCCCCUGAGGAGCAGAGAGCAAUUAACUUAUCCAAGAUCACACAAGCAAGAGCAACUCCCACUGCACCCAGGUCUGAGCAGUGAACUUCAGCCUUUGGGGCACCUGGUGGAGGG